GGCAGUAUCUGCACUUAGCCUCUUACCCCCUUUCCCUUUCUAUUUUCUAACCUAGACUUCUCUCAAAAAAUUUAACUUUGGUUGGUUAUUGUGGAAUCACGAGUCACGACUACUACAAUAGCUUCACGACCUCGGCGAUGACGACUCCUCUCCUCGACGACUGCUUGUUUGCUCAUUCUUGACUUUCAUUCAGGCAAAUAUUUUCAUGAAUGGGAGCCUUGGCGUGACGGGUAAAGUUGUUAUGUAAUUAGGAGGUCACGGGUUCGAGCUGUGAAAAUAACCUCUUGGAGAAAUGUAGGGUAAGGCUAGACCCUUGUGGUUCGGCCCUUCUCCGAACCCCGCGCAUAGUGAAAGUUUAUUGCACUGGACUGCCCUUUUUAGGCUCUAUCAUAUACAAGGGUGUUCUGGCCAUAUUUCUACAACUGUGUCAACCAAAGUGGAAGCUUAUUGUUUUGCAAGAACAACUCAGAUUUAGCAGCAAGGGUAAACAAAGAUACCAAAGCAAAAGCCGCUCCACCAAAUGAAACAGCUUAUGUUUCAAUAGAUUUGACAAAACAAACUGAAGAAUAAUUAUGUGACAUUUUGAACAAGAUCCAUAGUUCCACGUACAUGAUGAGCUAGGGGAGUAGUCAUCAUUUUCCCGGUAUGCUAAAUGCUAAGUUACUUGAGGUA